CUACUUUGAAUCUAUCUAUCUGUGUUAAGAUUUUACCCCCUUUGUUGCGUUAUUAUGUACCUUCUUUCUCCUUGUUAGGUCCAAUUAUGAGUUCUACUAUUUUGGUCCCCAAGCAGGGUUGUCCAUCUUCACCGGAUACAAGGACUCGAUAAAAGGUUGGACUGAGACCUUUAUAGUAGUUGAGCUGAAAGAGAGCUCGAGAAUCAACUGGGUUGUUGAUCUCUCUUGGGAGAAAUCUCUUAGGGCUGCAACGACUUUUCCAGGUUGACCUUGUUGGACCAAGUAUGUAUUCUUCGACUGACCUCUGUAAGGAAAAAGUAUAACAUCGAAAAGUGUAUGUUCAUGUUCAAUCUUUGGGACUGCUGAGAAACUGGUAUUGCUAUUGUUUUGUUUCUCUUUCUCGCUGCAUUUUCCUCUUAUUGCUUUGAGUUUUAACCGGAUUGGUAUUUUUCUUUUCAGCUUCUACAGCAUCCAUGGACACCACCAAGCUUUCAAAAAACUUUACCUUGUCUCGGGAAAAUAUGGAGGCGACUCUAGUGGUCUUUAAGGCCAAUAAUACGGUGGCCGACGUAACUCAGGAGGUCUUUCAGGCGGUGGACCCAAUAGCUAUGAACCGUUCUACUGCCCAUGCCCCUACUUUGGCGUUAAUGCCUGCAGCAGGGGGUUCUCAGUCUGCAGCCUCGAGGACAUCCGUUCUUGCCAAAGCACCGGUUCCAGCCAAAACUCUGACUGCUCUUAAACAGACUUCCAAUCUAGCCUAGUCAAUGGGCACUAUUUUGGAGCUGGAGAGUCAUAUUUUGCAGUUCCUAGUCAGAUAGGGUAGUUAGAGGCAUGGUCCUUACUAAGCUUGGCAAAGGGUUAAGCAACACGGGGGUUGAUUCAGUGGGGCAGUAGGGCUGGAGAAUGAGAACUGUGGUACUUCCUGAGUAGAGCCCAGAUCGGUUGGGGUAUUUCUGGUAUGAUUUUCAUUGUGAUUGGCCAUGUGGAUUUCAGUGGGUGUGAUGAGGAUGAGAACUUUGGUUGACGGUGCCAAUUGAUGUCCUAAAAUCCAAUAUAGGGUAGGCUCAAAAUGUAUUUUGGUAAGCUUGGUCUGGUUGGCUCAUACCUUCCUUCUUUUAUUCUUUUCUCUUUGAUCCUCUAGUGACGCAUAACCACCUUCCUAUGCCUGUACAUCCUGUCAUUAUUACGCGGGGUUGUACGUACAGAUGUACUGUGUCCUUUCCCAUCGUUAGAUGGCCAUUUAAUUUCCUCCAGCGUUAUGUUGAUACGGUCCUAGAUGUCUAGGAGUCUGUUGUCUCACUAAUCCAUUAAGUCGAUUAGGCUGGACCUCCUUCACUUAGAUUUGAUCCCUGCCUUGUCUAGUCUGUCCGAGCGAGGCCUAGGCUGCAUAUUGGAGGACAAACCUAUAUAUUGGAUUUUGAUGGGGUUACAGUUUGGCCUUCCAACAUGGGCUUAGUCAUAAUUUGGUAUCCAAGACCUAGUAGUUAUCACUAAUAUAAACCAGAUCUAAGGACAAUAACCCUUUCUUUGAAGCAUUGAUCUGAAAGGGACAACAAAAACUUUUUAUUUAACCAUACCCACCAGCAAGAGGAGAGAUCAAAUUCACCACGGGACAGGGAAAGAAAGUCGACCUCUCCACCCUAAAAGGAAUAAGGAAUGGCCAUACAUCAACGAUAGAGAAUAACAGACGAGACGAAGUUGUAGAUAUAAAAAUUAAAAAAAGAAAAGAAAAAAUUUCUCUCUAUCUUCCUCGAAGAUGAGAAAAUAGGAUAUUUUUAAACUCAAGUAAAAU
rnacentral:lncRNA from 1 species